rnacentral:snRNA from 1 species
GUGCUCCCUUCAGCAGCACAUAUACUAAAAUUGGAAGGAUUCAGAGAAGAUUAGCAUGGCCCCCUGCGCAAGGAUGACACACAAAUUCGUGGGGCGUUCCAUAUUUUU